UUCUCUGCAUCCCUGCUGACAUUUUCCCUUGUCAAACCAAGCCAGCAAACGAGAAACCAUAAAUCGCGAACCACGUCUCCCGGACUCCCAAUUGCCUAAAAGACCUUAAUAGCUAGCAAAUUCGAAAUGAAUCGCAUAUAAGAGCAUCCCCGUGGUAAGUUGGUGUAUAUUUAUGUGUCAACUUUUUUUUUUGUUUUUUGUUUUUUUCUUUUACAGAAGUGAGAUCAAAAUCUCUUAUAUAUCUGGCUAGUUUGAGGCUUGCCCAAGUUUUCUUCCCAGCUAGAUUGAGGAUAGGAGGCCUAGUACUGCAGUUACCCUACAUUAAAUCCUAAUCAUAACACCUAAAACUUUAAUCCAUUUUAUUUCCAUCUCUAUCCACCGAUUCUUCUUGUCUUCUUCAUUUUCAAACAAAAGUAUCGUCAAUUCAAAAAAUGAUUAAUUGUUUUUUUUUUUUUACGGAGUGUUGAAGCCAUCAAAAUUUAAACAAACCACUGAAGUUACUUAUCAUUGUGAGGUAAUCCAAGGAUUGUUCAAGUGAUUCGAAAUAAAAAAAUUGAGGAAGAAAAUGGUUACGGAAGACGAACAUUCUCCGAACGCAAUAUAGGUAGAAGACACAUCUCAAAUCAGAUUGUACUAUACGAUGAGCCAACAUCUGCAAAAUCAUUGGGACCUGAUAUGUUGGAGUGCUAUACAAAUGAUGCAAGAUUAACAAGUAAAGAAGAGGCAAUUAAGUGGGAUGAAUACGUGGGUUAGUGAGGAACACUCAAGGUUUGACGACUCGGUUUGAGAUGGUUUGCGAGAGAGGUAGCUCGUACAAGAAAAACAGCCAUAAAAGAAAGGAUUGUGUAUAUCCAAAAAAGACUAAUAAGGUAUAAUACGAGGAAGGAUGGAUGACCCUUUAAGCUUGUAUUUAAUUUGAGAUGAGGUGAAUGGUGUUGAGAGAGAAAAUAUUAUUUGUAGCGGAGUUGGCCAAGAUAUAGAGAUAUUCUCUUGAUUUGUGAGCAUGACUAGGGUGAGUCGUGUGAAGAGGCAUGGAAUGCCUCAAAAAUCAUGUAUAGAGUGUGAGAGGAGCUGAGAUUAGACUCUAUCUCAUUGUGUCCGGUCAUACGUGUAAUGUGGAGGCCAAAUUCCCGCCUUUUGUUGAUCAUGGGGAUCUCAAGGGAGUUUAUCCACGUUUUCGGAUAGACACAUGUAUUUUUACUAGCCAUGAG